GACCACUCAGUAGCCUAGAGGUCAGAGCUUCUGCCUUGCAUGCUGAAGGUCAUGGGUUUGAAACCCUGUGUGGUCA